rnacentral:rRNA from 1 species
UUUACGGAGAGUUUGAUCCUGGCUCAGGACGAACGCUGGCGGCGUGCUUAACACAUGCAAGUGGAGCGACGAACCAGGCUUCGGCCUGGGGCAAAGCCGCGAACGGGUGAGUAACACGUGGGUAACCUGCCCCGAUGACUGGGACAACCCGGGGAAACCCGGGCUAAUACCGGAUGUGCUCGCCUCGCGUCAGCGAGGUGAGGAAAGGUAGCUUCGGCUUCCGCAUCGGGAUGGGCCCGCGGCCCAUUAGCUUGUUGGUGAGGUAACGGCUCACCAAGGCGUCGAUGGGUAGCUGGUCUGAGAGGACGAUCAGCCACACUGGGACUGAGACACGGCCCAGACUCCUACGGGAGGCAGCAGUGGGGAAUCUUGCGCAAUGCGCGAAAGCGUGACGCAGCAACGCCGCGUGGGGGAAGAAGGCCUUCGGGUUGUAAACCCCUUUCAGUUGGGACGAAGCCUCGGCGGUGAACAGCCGACCGGGGUGACGGUACCUUCACAAGAAGCCCCGGCUAACUACGUGCCAGCAGCCGCGGUAAUACGUAGGGGGCAAGCGUUGUCCGGAAUCAUUGGGCGUAAAGAGCGCGUAGGCGG